GAUCCUGGCUCAGGAUGAACGCUAGCUACAGGCUUAACACAUGCAAGUCGAGGGGCAGCAUGGUCUUAGCUUGCUAAGGCCGAUGGCGACCGGCGCACGGGUGAGUAACACGUAUCCAACCUGCCGUCUACUCUUGGACAGCCUUCUGAAAGGAAGAUUAAUACAAGAUGGCAUCAUGAGUCCGCAUGUUCACAUGAUUAAAGGCUACGUUCCGGUAGACGAGGUGGGG
rnacentral:rRNA from 1 species